CCUACGGGCGGCUGCAGUGAGGAAUAUUGGUCAAUGGGCGCGAGCCUGACCCAGCCAAGUCGCGUGAAGGAUGAAUGCUCUACGGUUUGUAAACUUCUUUUAUAAAGGAAUACGGUUAGUAACGUGUGCAUUUUUGACUGUACUUUAUGAAUAAGGAUCGGCUAACUCCGUGCCAGCAGCCGCGGUAAUACGGAGGAUCCGAUCGUUAUCCGGAUUUAUUUGGUUUAAAGGGAGCGUAGAUGGGUUGUUAAGUCAGUUGGGAAAGGUUGCGGCUCAACCGUAAAAGUGCAAUUGAGACUGGCAGACUUGAGUGCAGUUGAGGUAGGUGGAAGUCGUGGUGUAGCGGUGAAAUGCGUAGAUAUCACGAAGAACUCCGAUGGCGAAGGCAGCUGACUA
rnacentral:rRNA from 1 species